GACGAACCGUGCGAACGUUGUUCGGAAUCACUGGGCUUAAAGGGCGCGUAGGCGGCUUGCCAAGUCCGGGGUGAAAGCCUCCAGCUUAACUGGAGAAGUGCCUUGGAUACUGGCGAGCUCGAGCGAGGUAGGGGCAGAUGGAACUUCCGGUGGAGCGGUGAAAUGCGUUGAUAUCGGAAGGAACGCCGGUGGCGAAAGCGAUCUGCUGGACCUCUUCUGACGCUGAGGCGCGAAAGCUAGGGGAGCGAACGGG
rnacentral:rRNA from 1 species